GAUGAACGCUGGCGGCGUGCUUAACACAUGCAAGUCGAACGGAAAGGCCUCUGCUUGCAGGGGUACUCGAGUGGCGAACGGGUGAGUAACACGUGGGUGAUCUGCCCUGCACUUCGGGAUAAGCCUGGGAAACUGGGUCUAAUACCGGAUAGGACAAUGGUUUGGAUGCUGUUGUGGAAAGUUUUUCGGUGUGGGAUGAGCUCGCGGCCUAUCAGCUUGUUGGUGAGGUAAUGGCCUACCAAGGCGUCGACGGGUAGCCGGCCUGAGAGGGUGUACGGCCACAUUGGGACUGAGAUACGGCCCAGACUCCUACGGGAGGCAGCAGUGGGGAAUAUUGCACAAUGGGCGCAAGCCUGAUGCAGCGACGCCGCGUGGGGGAUGACGGCCUUCGGGUUGUAAACUCCUUUCGCUAGGGACGAAGCGUUUUUGUGACGGUACCUGGAGAAGAAGCACCGGCUAACUACGUG
rnacentral:rRNA from 1 species